UACGUAGGGUGCAAGCGUUAAUCGGAAUUACUGGGCGUAAAGCGUGCGCAGGCGGUUUUGUAAGUCUGAUGUGAAAUCCCCGGGCUCAACCUGGGAAUUGCAUUGGAGACUGCAAGGCUAGAAUCUGGCAGAGGGGGGUAGAAUUCCACGUGUAGCAGUGAAAUGCGUAGAGAUGUGGAAGAACACCGAUGGCGAAGGCAGCCCCCUGGGUCAAGAUUGACGCUCAUGCACGAAAGCGUGGGGAGCAAACAGG
rnacentral:rRNA from 1 species